ensembl:snRNA U2 U2 spliceosomal RNA
CUUGCUUCUUGGUCUUUCUGAUAAAAACAAGUGUAGCAUUUGAUCUUAUCAGUUUAAUAUAAGAUCCAUUCUCUAUCUGAGGAUAUCAUAUUAAAUAGUGUUUUUGAUCUAGGAAAUUGAUAACAGGUUGUUCUGCCCACUCCAUUCAUUGACCUAGUGUUACAGUUCUUCCAGGAACUAUGUACCUCUG